rnacentral:rRNA from 1 species
UACGUAGGGUGCAGGCGUUGUCCGGAAUUUAUUGGGCGUAAAGAGCUCGUAGGCGGUCUGUCGCGUCGGCUGUGAAAACUCGGGGCUCAACUCCGAGCUUGCAGUCGAUACGGGCAGGCUAGAGUUCGGCAGGGGGAGACUGGAAUUCCUGGUGUAGCGGUGAAAUGCGCAGAUAUCAGGAGGAACACCGGUGGCGAAGGCGGGUCUCUGGGCCGAUACUGACGCUGAGGAGCGAAAGCGUGGGGAGCGAACAGG